rnacentral:rRNA from 1 species
AUUGAACGCUGGCGGAAUGCUUUACACAUGCAAGUCGAACGGCAGCACGGACUUCGGUCUGGUGGCGAGUGGCGAACGGGUGAGUAAUACAUCGGAACGUGCCCAGUCGUGGGGGAUAACGUGGCGAAAGCUACGCUAAUACCGCAUACGAUCUAAGGAUGAAAGCGGGGGACCGUAAGGCCUUCCGCGAUUGGGGCGGCCGAUGGCAGAUUAGGUAGUUGGUGGGGUAAAGGCCCACCAAGCCGACGAUCUGUAGCUGUUCUGAGAGGAAGCUCCCCCACACUGGUACUGAGACACGGACCAGACUCCUACGGGAGGCAGCAGUGAGGAAUAUUGGUCAAUGGACGGAAGUCUGAACCAGCCAUACCGCGUGUAGGAUGAAGGUUCUAUGGAUUGUAAACUACUUUUGUAUUGGAAUAAAAAGGUCAUUCGUUGACAAAUUGCAUGUACAAUACGAAUAAGCACCGGCUAACUCCGUGCCAGCAGCCGCAGUAA